UGGGGAAUAUUGCACAAUGGGCGCAAGCCUGAUGCAGCCAUGCCGCGUGUAUGAAGAAGGCCUUCGGGUUGUAAAGUACUUUCAGCGGGGAGGAAGGGAGUAAAGUUAAUACCUUUGCUCAUUGACGUUACCCGCAGAAGAAGCACCGGCUAACUCCGUGCCAGCAGCCGCGGUAAUACGGAGGGUGCAAGCGUUAAUCGGAAUUACUGGGCGUAAAGCGCACGCAGGCGGUUUGUUAAGUCAGAUGUGAAAUCCCCGGGCUCAACCGGGGAGGGUCAUUGGAAACUGGGAGACUUGAGUGCAGAAGAGGAGAGUGGAAUUCCAUGUGUAGCGGUGAAAUGCGUAGAUAUAUGGGGGAACACCAGUGGCGAAGGCGGCUCUCUGGUCUGUAACUGACGCUGAGGCUCGAAAGCGUGGGGAGCAAACAGG
rnacentral:rRNA from 1 species